CCGAGUGUAGCUCAGUUGGUAGAGCGAUUGACUGUAGUGUUCUAUACUGUGCUCCAGUAUUCUCGGAAAUCAAUUGGUCGCUGGUUCGAUUCCGGCCACUCGAA
rnacentral:tRNA from 1 species